AGAGUUUGAUCMUGGCUCAGAUUGAACGCUGGCGGCGUGCUUAACACAUGCAAGUCGAACGAGAAAGGGACUUCGGUCCUGAGUAGAGUGGCGCACGGGUGAGUAACGCGUAGGUAAUCUACCUCUGCAUCUGGGAUAACACUUCGAAAGGGGUGCUAAUACCGGAUACACUUAUGGACCGCAAGGUCUAUAAGGAAAGGAGACCUCUCCUUGGAAGUUUCUGUGUAGAGAUGAGCCUGCGUCCCAUUAGCUAGUUGGCAGGGUAAAGGCCUACCAAGGCGACGAUCAGUAGCCGGCCUGAGAGGGUGAUCGGCCACACUGGAACUGAGACACGGUCCAGACUCCUACGGGAGGCAGCAGUGGGGAAUUUUGCGCAAUGGACGAGAGUCUGACGCAGCAACGCCGCGUGGGUGAUGAAGGUCUUCGGACUGUAAAACCCUGUCGUCAGGGACGAAGGUGCGCGUGUUAAURGCAUGCGUGCUUGACGGUACCUGGAGAGGAAGCCCCGGCUAACUCUGUGCCAGCMGCCGCGGUAAUA
rnacentral:rRNA from 1 species